GACGAACGCUGGCGGCGUGCCUAAUACAUGCAAGUAGAACGCUGAAGGAAGGAGCUUGCUCUUUCUGGAUGAGUUGCGAACGGGUGAGUAACGCGUAGGUAACCUGCCUGGUAGCGGGGGAUAACUAUUGGAAACGAUAGCUAAUACCGCAUAAAAUUGAUUAUUGCAUGAUAGUCAAUUAAAAGGUGCAACUGCACCACUACCAGAUGGACCUGCGUUGUAUUAGCUAGUUGGUGGGGUAACGGCUCACCAAGGCGACGAUACAUAGCCGACCUGAGAGGGUGAUCGGCCACACUGGGACUGAGACACGGCCCAGACUCCUACGGGAGGCAGCAGUAGGGAAUCUUCGGCAAUGGACGGAAGUCUGACCGAGCAACGCCGCGUGAGUGAAGAAGGUUUUCGGAUCGUAAAGCUCUGUUGUAAGAGAAGAACGAGUGUGAGAGUGGAAAGUUCACACUGUGACGGUAUCUAACCAGAAAGGGACGGCUAACUACGUG
rnacentral:rRNA from 1 species